rnacentral:rRNA from 1 species
UACGGAGGGUGCGAGCGUUGUCCGGAAUCACUGGGCGUAAAGGGCGCGUAGGCGGCGCGGGCAGUCAACGGUGAAAGCUUGGGGCUCAACCCCGAGUCGGCCGUCGAUACUCCCGGGCUGGAGCACUGUAGAGGCAGGUGGAAUUCCGGGUGUAGCGGUGGAAUGCGUAGAGAUCCGGAAGAACACCGGUGGCGAAGGCGGCCUGCUGGGCAGUAGCUGACGCUGAGGCGCGACAGCGUGGGGAGCAAACAG